GACGAAGGGGGCUAGCGUUGUUCGGAAUUACUGGGCGUAAAGCGUGUGUAGGUGGUUGCCACAGUCAGGUGUGAAAGCCUUGAGCUCAACUCUAGAAAUGCACUUGAUACUGGGCAGCUAGAGGACCGGAGAGGAUAGUGGAAUUCCCAGUGUAGUGGUGAAAUACGUAGAGAUUGGGAAGAACACCAGUGGCGAAGGCGGCUAUCUGGACGGUUUCUGACACUAAGACACGAAAGCGUGGGGAGCAAACAGG
rnacentral:rRNA from 1 species